GGGGGGGGGGGGGGGGGGGGGGGGGGGGGGGGGGGGGGGGGGGGGGGGGGGGGGGGGGGGGGGGGGGGGGGGGGGGGGGGGGGGGGGGGGGGGGGGGUGACCCCCCCUGACCCCCCCUGCCCCCAGCUCGGGUUCUUCAAGCGCUCGGGGCCGUACGGCACCGCCAUGGAGAAGGCUCAGCUCAAACCCCAGGCGGCCUCCGAGGCCUGAGGGGACCCUGCGGGGACAGGGACACCGGGGGACACCCCGGGGGGACACCCCGGGGGGACACCCCCACGGCUUGGGGACCCCCACACCGCCAGCGUCCCCUGCACCACAACUGUCACCUGCACGGACUGGGACCCCCACAGGGGUGACGUCACCGGUGUCACUGCUGGGGACCCUCCCAUGGCUGGGGACCCCCACACGGACGGUGUCACCCGCACGGCCCCCCCACUCCUGGGGACAUCACAAGGACAAUGUCACCUGCACAGCUGGACAAUGUCACCCACACAGCUGGACAAUGUCACCCGCACGUCCCCCCACUCCUGGGGACCCUGCCAGGACAGUGUCAGCCGCACGGCCGGUGUCACCUGCACCGGUGACAUCCCCCACUCCACACCCCCAGCUGGGGACCCCCACAGUGCCACCCCUACAAGGGGCUGGGGACACUCACGGGAACUGUCACCACGCUGGGGACACCGCCACAGGAACUGUCACCACGCUGGGGACACUCACAGGAACUGUCACCGUGCUGGGGACACUCACAGGAACUGUCACCACGCUGGGGACACUCAUGGGAACUGUCACCGUGCUGGGGACACUGCCACAGGAACUGUCACCGUGCUGGGGACACUGCCACAGGAGCUGUCACCACGCUGGGGACACUCAUGGGAACUGUCACCGUCUGGGAAC
rnacentral:lncRNA from 12 species